rnacentral:rRNA from 1 species
UACUCCUACGGGAGGCAGCAGGGGGGAAUUUUGCGCAAUGGGCGAAAGCCUGACGCAGCAACGCCGCGUGAGUGAUGAAGGCCCUCGGGUCGUAAAGCUCUGUCAGAGGGGAAGAAACUUUUGAGGGAGAAUAUCCCUUGAAACUGACGGUACCCUCAAAGGAAGCACCGGCUAACUCCGUGCCAGCAGCCGCGGUAAUA